UUAGCUUGCCAGGGAGGAAGAUUAUUUCCUUUUCUUUUGGUCAACAUGCCUUAAGUGAAGAGACAUGAUCCUCUUUUCACUCUAUUGUCCCCCUUUGUUGACUUUUUCCUCCCUUUUUUCUUUAUUCAAGGUACGAUGAACCUAGACUAGGUUGACCACUUUUUUCCAUCCAACCUCUCAUUGCUACACCACCCUCCUCUCCUUCCCAUUUUCUCUCUUUUUCUCUUUUGUUUAGCUCUCAACCUUCCCAUUUUUCUUUUCUUUUAUUUUUUCCUCCAUCCUUCUUAGUUGUGCAUCACCUAUAUUUCACCACCGAACCACCACCCAUCACCUCUCCCCUCUCCUUUUUUUUUUCUCUUCGAGCGCUGCCCCUUGCGUCGCCUUCCUCCACCGUGUCAACCACCGCGCACCACCACUAAAUUCCUCUUUUUUUUUUUCUUCUUUCUUUUGUUUCUCUUCUCUUCUCCAUUAAGAAAAUGAUCGAAUCAUUGUUCAUUCUUUCUCCUCCGUCGAACUGUUGCAACUAUUGCUAGACUGUCACCAUAGCACCACCACCGACGAUUAUUCCUUCUCCGAUUUGUGACCCAUUCGAUUCGUUGAUCCUCCAUUCCAUUCGUGUGAGAGUAAAUAUAAAGGAAGGGUCAAUCGACAUCAACCCGAGAGAUCGUUAAUUGUUGGGUUUUAAUCACUAAUCCGAGAGAUCUUAUAAGGGUGAGGGCUUGUUUUGGAGCUCUAAAAGGAAGAUUGACCUCUACUGAUCUCAUCACAAAUCAACCUUUGAAGCAAGUAUGAAUUUAAAUUUUAGGCAUUAUUUUUUGGCAUGUACAUAGGAAUAUGCUAAGAAUGUUUGUGGAUGAAUUCAAUGAAAGAAAUUGAUGGUUUUUGAUCUUCUUGUAAAUUUUGUAUCUUGAACAUGUUUAAUGUUGCUUUAAGUUGAAUUAAGUGAUGUCUAAGGAUGGAAAUUGACAUA